UUUCCUACGGGAGGCAGCAGUCGGGAAUUUUGGGCAAUGGGCGAAACCUGACCCGAACGCCGCGUGAAGGAUGAAAUCCCUCGGGAUGCUUCGCAAGAACGGGAAGAAUAAGCCGGUGUUAACACCACCGGUGAUGACGGUACUGUUUGUAAGCUCCGGCUAACUCCGUGCCAGCAGCCGCGGUAAUACGGGGGGAGCAAGCGUUGUUCGGAUUUACUGGGCGUAAAGGGCGCGUAGGCGGCCUCUGCAAGUCGACUGUGAAAUCUCCGGGCUUAACCCGGAACGGUCAGCCGAUACUGCAGGGCUAGAGUGCAGAAGGGGCAACUGGAAUUCUCGGUGUAGCGGUGAAAUGCGUAGAUAUCGAGAGGAACACCUGCGGCGAAGGCGGGUUGCUGGGCUGACACUGACGCUGAGGCGCGAAAGCUAGGGGAGCGAACGGGAUUAGAUACCCCGGUAGUCCUAGCCUUAAACGAUGAAUGCUUGGUGUCUGGGGUUUUAUAGUCCCCGGGUGCCGUCGCUAACGCUUUAAGCAUUCCGCCUGGGGAGUACGGUCGCAAGACUGAAACUCAAAGGAAUUGACGGGGACCCGACAAGCGGUGGAGCAUGUGGUUUAAUUCGACGCAACGCUGACCUUACCUGGGCUAGAAUGCCUCUGACCGGCGUAGAGAUACGCCUCC
rnacentral:rRNA from 1 species